rnacentral:rRNA from 1 species
GAUGAACGCUGGCGGCGUGCCUAAUACAUGCAAGUAGAACGCUGAAGGAAGGAGCUUGCUCUUUCCGGAUGAGUUGCGAACGGGUGAGUAACGCGUAGGUAACCUGCCUGUUAGCGGGGGAUAACUAUUGGAAACGAUAGCUAAUACCGCAUAACAGUAGGUGUUGCAUGAUAUCUACUUAAAAGGUGCAAUUGCACCACUACCAGAUGGACCUCCGUUGUAUUAGCUAGUUGGGUAGGUAACGGCUCACCAAGGCGGCGGAACAUAACCGACCUGAGAGGGGGAACGGCCACACUGGGACCGGGACCCGGCCCAGACUCCUAAGGGGGGCAGCAGUAGGGGAUCUUCGGCAAUGGACGGAAGUCUGACCGGGCAACGCCGCGGGAGUGGAGAAGGGUUUCGGAUCGUAAAGAUCUGUUGUAAGAGAAGAAAGAAUGUGAGAGUGGAAAGUGCACACUGUGACGGUAUCUUACCAGAAAGGGACGGCUAACUACGUG